rnacentral:rRNA from 1 species
CCAAUAGCGUAUAUUAAAGUUGUUGCAGUUAAAAAGCUCGUAGUUGAAUUUCGGGAUCAAUAUAUCGGUCGUGCCUCCGGUAUGCACUGGUAUUAUUGAUUUCUACCUUCUGACGAACUGUGAUGUCAUUAAUUUGGUGUCAUGGGGAAUCAGGACUGUUACUUUGAAAAAAUUAGAGUGUUUAAAGCAGGCACACGCUUGAAUACAUUAGCAUGGAAUAAUGAAAUAGGACGUUUGACCCUAUUUUGUUGGUUUCUAGGAUCGACGUAAUGAUUAAUAGGGAUAGUUGGGGGCAUUAGUAUUCAAUUGUCAGAGGUGAAAUUCUUGGAUUUAUUGAAGACUAACUACUGCGAAAGCAUUUGCCAAGGAUGUUUUCAUUAAUCAAGAACGAAAGUUAGGGGAUCGAAGACGAUCAGAUACCGUCGUAGUCUUAACCAUAAACUAUGCCGACUAGGGAUCGGAUGAUGUUAAUUUUUUAAUGACUCAUUCGGCGCCUUACG